rnacentral:rRNA from 1 species
GACGUAGGGCGCGAGCGUUGUCCGGAUUUAUUGGGCGUAAAGAGCUCGUAGGCGGCUUGUCGCGUCGAAUGUGAAAUCUCAGGGCUCAACUCUGACAUUGCAUUCGAUACGGGCAGGCUAGAGUUCGGUAGGGGAGACUGGAAUUCCUGGUGUAGCGGUGAAAUGCUCAGAUAUCAGGAGGAACACCGAUGGCGAAGGCAGGUCUCUGGGCCGAUACUGACGCUGAGGAGCGAAAGCGUGGGGAGCGAACAGG